CAUCUAAGGAAGGCAGCAGGCGCGUAAAUUACCCAAUCCUGACUCAGGGAGGUAGUGACAAGAAAUAACAAACCGGGGCACUCUGUGCUUACGGGAUUGCAAUGAGCACAAUGUAAAUCAAUUAGCGAGGAUCAAUUGGAGGGCAAGUCUGGUGCCAGCAGCCGCGGUAAUUCCAGCUCCAAUAGCGUAUAUUAAAGUUGUUGCAGUUAAAAAGCUCGUAGUUGAACUUCUGGGCGACGGCUUCAGCGGCGCGAGUCGUUGAGCGUCUGUCCAUCCAUCUGGGAACUACGUUCGUCCUUCACUGGUCGGCGUAGGGAACAGA
rnacentral:rRNA from 1 species